rnacentral:rRNA from 1 species
AGAAACCAACAGGGAUUGCCUCAGUAACGGCGAGUGAAGCGGCAACAGCUCAAAUUUGAAAUCUGGCGCCUUCGGCGUCCGAGUUGUAAUUUGCAGAGGAUGCUUCGGCGUCGGCACCGGUCUAAGUUCCUUGGAACAGGACGUCACAGAGGGUGAGAAUCCCGUACGUGAUCGGCCGCCGUCGCCAUGUGAAGCUCCUUCGACGAGUCGAGUUGUUUGGGAAUGCAGCUCUAAAUGGGAGGUAAAUUUCUUCUAAAGCUAAAUACCGGCCAGAGACCGAUAGCGCACAAGUAGAGUGAUCGAAAGAUGAAAAGCACUUUGGAAAGAGAGUUAAACAGCACGUGAAAUUGUUGAAAGGGAAGCGGUUGCCACCAGACUUGACCGCGGGCGCUCAGCCGGGCUUCUGCCCGGUGCACUCGCUCGCGGCCAGGCCAGCAUCAGUUCGGGCGGUCGGACAAAGGUCCCGGGAAUGUAGCUCCCCUCGGGGAGUGUUAUAGCCCGGGGCGUAAUACGGCCAGCCUGGACUGAGGUCCGCGCUUCGGCUAGGAUGCUGGCGUAAUGGUUGCAACCGGCCCGUCUUGAAACACGGACCAAGGAGUCUAACAUCUAUGCGAGUGUUUGGGUGUCAAACCCAUACGCGUAAUGAAAGUGAACGGAGGUGGGAGCCGCAAGGCGCACCAUCGACCGAUCCUGAUGUCUUCGGAUGGAUUUGAGUAUGAGCAUGGCUGUUGGGACCCGAAAGAUGGUGAACUAUGCCUGAAUAGGGUGAAGCCAGAGGAAACUCUGGUGGAGGCUCGCAGCGGUUCUGACGUGCAAAUCGAUCGUCAAAUUUGGGUAUAGGGGCGAAAGACUAAUCGAACC